UUCAGCAGCAGCACCAAGUCACAGAGGCUCGGCUUGUCAGAUCACAAGACUCACUCACACAAGGAAGGAAGAAUGGCUCUUGUUCUCCAUCUGUCCAGGUUUCCAAAAACCAAGCCGUCCCAUGAAGAGAUGGGCUUGGCCAUAAUGAUGCAUAACCAGAAGUGAUAAAAGCACAGGAGCUCUGCAGAUUGAAGGCCAUGUUAACAAAUUGGUGCUGGAACGCAUGCCAGUGCCUCUCUUUCGCACAUCACUCUGUUUGUGGGUCAAGGUGUGCAUCAGCAAAGGCGCAAGGACCCUCUGCUUGUGACCCAGUAGUGGUCUUUCAGGGGAAAGCCGGCGUCGUGGGAGAGGCAUUGUUUAUUUGAUGGAGUCCGGGAGGUGUGUGUGUUGAGGCAUGGUUUGAAUCCAGUCGGUCACUGCAUGAAGUCCUGAACUUUAGCUGUAUGUGCAAUCUUCGAAGCAUGAGACUGGAUCCGAAAAAUAAUGCUAUAGUAACUGGUUUAAUUAGGAAUUGGUAUGGUUGGAAAUACUGGAAACUAGCGCUCGGAUUUCGUGAAACGGAAUGGAUAAAAGCUUAAAGCCGUUCUUGCAAUAGAGCUCCGGCUACACUUUGCUGAUCAGUCCAUGCCUCCAAUUAUCUUGUUUCAUUUGUCUUUGUGCUAAUUGGGCUCACAGUGGCAAGUUGUCAUACGAACGAAGAGAAGGACUUGAUUCAUCACCCAUGCGCAUUCAGAACUUUCUCCAUCAAAAUGGCUUUUGCAGAGACCUUCUGUGGAAAGACGACUCAAGCAUCGAGUCCGAGGAACCAUUCCUUGGAACCAGUGUAAACUUGAAACACAGAUAAAGCCGUCUGUCAGAACUUCAAUAAUCACCAAAGACCUUACAAUCGAAGCAAUCACUCGUACGCUGAUCUGUAGCAGAGCUUUUUCCUUCUGCACACACAACACCAAUUCUACAGAAGUGCCCUUCUCAACGAAAAAGUAUUCCUUUGCGGAAGGACCUAGUUGUACAAUGGCGAAAGUUGCUAAAGAGGCGAAGUCAUCGAGGUUUUUGUCGUUUCCUUUAACUGAAGGGGGCUUUUGCUUCGAGAUGAGUGUGUUCACCCUGACGUGGACAAGGUGUCCUGGCCACACUAGAGAAUGUAUACCGCGUAGAGUAGCUUUGGAGAUUGAGAAGACCAAACCGACCGUUCAUCGCUUGUGGACUUUCUGUCUGGAUCAGAAUAGCACUUUUGUGUAUUGUGAUCUACCAGCGCCAUGAAGCAUUCGAUUUUGUGAGAUUGAAAUGGGGAAAGGAUCAGAAUACUAUCAGAAUACUAUCUGACACGACCACAUGAAUAAAUUGUGCUUUUCUCUAA